rnacentral:rRNA from 1 species
UACAGAGGGUGCAAGCGUUAAUCGGAAUUACUGGGCGUAAAGCGCGCGUAGGUGGUUCAGUAAGAUGGAAGUGAAAUCCCCGGGCUUAACCUGGGAACUGCUUUCAUAACUGCUGAGCUAGAGUACGGUAGAGGGUAGUGGAAUUUCCUGUGUAGCGGUGAAAUGCGUAGAUAUAGGAAGGAACACCAGUGGCGAAGGCGACUACCUGGACUGAUACUGACACUGAGGUGCGAAAGCGUGGGGAGCAAACAGGAUUAGAUACCCCUGUAGU